UACGGAGGGUGCAAGCGUUAUCCGGAUUCACUGGGUUUAAAGGGUGCGUAGGUGGGUUGGUAAGUCAGUGGUGAAAUCUCCGAGCUUAACUUGGAAACUGCCAUUGAUACUAUCAGUCUUGAAUAUUGUGGAGGUCAGCGGAAUAUGUCAUGUAGCGGUGGAAUGCGUAGAGAUCCGGAGGAAGACCGGUGGCGAAGGCGGCCUGCUGGGCAGUUACUGACACUGAUGCGCGACAGCGUGGGGAGCAAACAGG
rnacentral:rRNA from 1 species